rnacentral:tRNA from 1 species
AAAUAAGAAGCAAUUUUUUGCAUUUAGUUUCGACCUAAAAAAUUGAUUUAUGAUCCUUAUUUA